AGUGAACGCUGGCGGUAGGCCUAACACAUGCAAGUCGAACGGCAGCACCGUAAGAGCUUGCUCUUACGGGUGGCGAGUGUCGGACGGGUGAGGAAUACAUCGGAAUCUACUUUUUCGUGGGGGCUAACGUCGGGAAACUUACGCUAAUACCGCAUACGACCUACGGGUGAAAGCAGGGGAUCUUCGGACCUUGCGCGAUUGAAUGAGCCGAUGUCGGAUUAGCUAGUUGGCGGGGUAAAGGCCCACCAAGGCGACGAUCCGUAGCUGGUCUGAGAGGAUGAUCAGCCACACGGGAACUGAGACACGGUCCAGACUCCUACGGGAGGCAGCAGUGGGGAAUAUUGGACAAUGGGCGCAAGCCUGAUCCAGCCAUACCGCGUGGGUGAAGAAGGCCUUCGGGUUGUAAAGCCCUUUUGUUGGGAAAGAAAAGCAGCAGGUUAAUACCCCGCUGUUCUGACGGUACCCAAAGAAGAAGCACCGGCUAACUUCGUG
rnacentral:rRNA from 1 species